UACGGAGGGUGCAAGCGUUAAUCGGAAUUAUUGGGCGUAAAGCGCACGUAGGUGGUUUGCUAAGUCAGCUGUGAAAUCCCCGGGCUCAACCUGGGCACUGCAGUUGAAACUGGCAAGCUAGAGUAGGGUAGAGGGGUGUGGAAUUCCAGGUGUAGCGGUGAAAUGCGUAGAUAUCUGGAGGAACAUCAGUGGCGAAGGCGACACCCUGGACUCAUACUGACACUGAGGAGCGAAAGCCAGGGGAGGCAAACGGG
rnacentral:rRNA from 1 species